rnacentral:rRNA from 1 species
UGGGGAAUAUUGGACAAUGGGCGCAAGCCUGAUCCAGCCAUGCCGCGUGAGUGACGAAGGCCUUAGGGUUGUAAAGCUCUUUUGGCGGGGAAGAUAAUGACGGUACUCGGAGAAGAAGCUCCGGCUAACUUCGUGCCAGCAGCCGCGGUAAUACGAAGGGGGCUAGCGUUGUUCGGAUUUACUGGGCGUAAAGCGCGUGUAGGCGGGUCGUUAAGUUGGGGGUGAAAUCCCGAGGCUCAACCUCGGAACUGCCUUCAAAACUGGCGACCUGGACCUAAGUAGAGGCAAGUGGAAUUGCGAGUGUAGAGGUGAAAUUCGUAGAUAUUCGCAGGAACACCAGUGGCGAAGGCGACUUGCUGGACUUAUGGUGACGCUGAGACGCGAAAGCGUGGGGAGCAAACAGGAUUAGAUACCCACGUAGUCCCUGAGCGGGCUGGCAAGGCGCAU